rnacentral:rRNA from 1 species
GCCUAGCUAUAAACUAAGGUAGCACAAACACACCCUACCCGCCAGAGAACUACAAGUGAAAAACUUAAAACUCCAAGGACUUGGCGGUGCCCCACACCAACCUAGAGGAGCCUGUCCUAUAAUCGAUAAUCCACGCUCUACCCAACCAUCUUUCGCCCUCAGCCUAUAUACCGCCGUCGCCAGCCUACCCUCUGAAAGAAGCAUAGUAGACAAAAUAGUUAUUAACUAAUACGUCAGGUCAAGGUGUAGCACAUGAGAUGGAAGAGAUGGGCUACAUUUUCUGCUAUAGAAAACACAAACAGCUCAAUGAAACUUGGGCCAAAAGGCGGAUUUAGAAGUAAGACCAACUAGUAUUUUUGUCUUAAACCUGCUCUGGGGCGCGCACACACCGCCCGUCACUACUCA